rnacentral:rRNA from 1 species
UUAAGCGACUAAGCGUACACGGUGGAUGCCCUGGCAGUCAGAGGCGAUGAAGGACGUGCUAAUCUGCGAUAAGCGUCGGUAAGGUGAUAUGAACCGUUAUAACCGGCGAUUUCCGAAUGGGGAAACCCAGUGUGUUUCGACACACUAUCAUUAACUGAAUCCAUAGGUUAAUGAGGCGAACCGGGGGAACUGAAACAUCUAAGUACCCCGAGGAAAAGAAAUCAACCGAGAUUCCCCCAGUAGCGGCGAGCGAACGGGGAGAGCCCAGAGCCUGAAUCAGUGUGUGUGUUAGUGGAAGCGUCUGGAAAGGCGCGCGAUACAGGGUGACAGCCCCGUACACAAAAAUGCACAUGCUGUGAGCUCGAUGAGUAGGGCGGGACACGUGGUAUCCUGUCUGAAUAUGGGGGGACCAUCCUCCAAGGCUAAAUACUCCUGACUGACCGAUAGUGAACCAGUACCGUGAGGGAAAGGCGAAAAGAACCCCGGCGAGGGGAGUGAAAAAGAACCUGAAACCGUGUACGUACAAGCAGUGGGAGCACAGAGCAAUCUGUGUGACUGCGUACCUUUUGUAUAAUGGGUCAGCGACUUAUAUUCUGUAGCAAGGUUAACCGAAUAGGGGAGCCGAAGGGAAACCGAGUCUUAACUGGGCGUUAAGUUGCAGGGUAUAGACCCGAAACCCGGUGAUCUAGCCAUGGGCAGGUUGAAGGUUGGGUAACACUAACUGGAGGACCGAACCGACUAAUGUUGAAAAAUUAGCGGAUGACUUGUGGCUGGGGGUGAAAGGCCAAUCAAACCGGGAGAUAGCUGGUUCUCCCCGAAAGCUAUUUAGGUAGCGCCUCGUGAAUUCAUCUCCGGGGGUAGAGCACUGUUUCGGCAAGGGGGUCAUCCCGACUUACCAACCCGAUGCAAACUGCGAAUACCGGAGAAUGUUAUCACGGGAGACACACGGCGGGUGCUAACGUCCGUCGUGAAGAGGGAAACAACCCAGACCGCCAGCUAAGGUCCCAAAGUCAUGGUUAAGUGGGAAACGAUGUGGGAAGGCCCAGACAGCCAGGAUGUUGGCUUAGAAGCAGCCAUCAUUUAAAGAAAGCGUAAUAGCUCACUGGUCGAGUCGGCCUGCGCGGAAGAUGUAACGGGGCUAAACCAUGCACCGAAGCUGCGGCAGCGACGCUUAUGCGUUGUUGGGUAGGGGAGCGUUCUGUAAGCCUGUGAAGGUGUGCUGUGAGGCAUGCUGGAGGUAUCAGAAGUGCGAAUGCUGACAUAAGUAACGAUAAAGCGGGUGAAAAGCCCGCUCGCCGGAAGACCAAGGGUUCCUGUCCAACGUUAAUCGGGGCAGGGUGAGUCGACCCCUAAGGCGAGGCCGAAAGGCGUAGUCGAUGGGAAACAGGUUAAUAUUCCUGUACUUGGUGUUACUGCGAAGGGGGGACGGAGAAGGCUAUGUUGGCCGGGCGACGGUUGUCCCGGUUUAAGCGUGUAGGCUGGUUUUCCAGGCAAAUCCGGAAAAUCAAGGCUGAGGCGUGAUGACGAGGCACUACGGUGCUGAAGCAACAAAUGCCCUGCUUCCAGGAAAAGCCUCUAAGCAUCAGGUAACAUCAAAUCGUACCCCAAACCGACACAGGUGGUCAGGUAGAGAAUACCAAGGCGCUUGAGAGAACUCGGGUGAAGGAACUAGGCAAAAUGGUGCCGUAACUUCGGGAGAAGGCACGCUGAUAUGUAGGUGAAGUCCCUCGCGGAUGGAGCUGAAAUCAGUCGAAGAUACCAGCUGGCUGCAACUGUUUAUUAAAAACACAGCACUGUGCAAACACGAAAGUGGACGUAUACGGUGUGACGCCUGCCCGGUGCCGGAAGGUUAAUUGAUGGGGUUAGCGGUAACGCGAAGCUCUUGAUCGAAGCCCCGGUAAACGGCGGCCGUAACUAUAACGGUCCUAAGGUAGCGAAAUUCCUUGUCGGGUAAGUUCCGACCUGCACGAAUGGCGUAAUGAUGGCCAGGCUGUCUCCACCCGAGACUCAGUGAAAUUGAACUCGCUGUGAAGAUGCAGUGUACCCGCGGCAAGACGGAAAGACCCCGUGAACCUUUACUAUAGCUUGACACUGAACAUUGAGCCUUGAUGUGUAGGAUAGGUGGGAGGCUUUGAAGUGUGGACGCCAGUCUGCAUGGAGCCGGCCUUGAAAUACCACCCUUUAAUGUUUGAUGUUCUAACGUUGGCCCCUGAUCGGGGUUGCGGACAGUGUCUGGUGGGUAGUUUGACUGGGGCGGUCUCCUCCUAAAGAGUAACGGAGGAGCACGAAGGUUGGCUAAUCCUGGUCGGACAUCAGGAGGUUAGUGCAAUGGCAUAAGCCAGCUUGACUGCGAGCGUGACGGCGCGAGCAGGUGCGAAAGCAGGUCAUAGUGAUCCGGUGGUUCUGAAUGGAAGGGCCAUCGCUCAACGGAUAAAAGGUACUCCGGGGAUAACAGGCUGAUACCGCCCAAGAGUUCAUAUCGACGGCGGUGUUUGGCACC